rnacentral:rRNA from 1 species
CUAUCAUGCAGUCGUACGCUUCUUUUUCCACCGGAGCUUGCUCCACCGGAAAAAGAGGAGUGGCGAACGGGUGAGUAACACGUGGGUAACCUGCCCAUCAGAAGGGGAUAACACUUGGAAACAGGUGCUAAUACCGUAUAACAAUCGAAACCGCAUGGUUUUGAUUUGAAAGGCGCUUUCGGGUGUCGCUGAUGGAUGGACCCGCGGUGCAUUAGCUAGUUGGUGAGGUAACGGCUCACCAAGGCCACGAUGCAUAGCCGACCUGAGAGGGUGAUCGGCCACAUUGGGACUGAGACACGGCCCAAACUCCUACGGGAGGCAGCAGUAGGGAAUCUUCGGCAAUGGACGAAAGUCUGACCGAGCAACGCCGCGUGAGUGAAGAAGGUUUUCGGAUCGUAAAACUCUGUUGUUAGAGAAGAAUAAGGAUGAGAGUAACUGUUCAUCCCUUGACGGUAUCUAACCAGAAAGCCACGGCUAACUACGUGCCAGCAGCCGCGGUAAUACGUAGGUGGCAAGCGUUGUCCGGAUUUAUUGGGCGUAAAGCGAGCGCAGGCGGUUUCUUAAGUCUGAUGUGAAAGCCCCCGGCUCAACCGGGGAGGGUCAUUGGAAACUGGGAGACUUGAGUGCAGAAGAGGAGAGUGGAAUUCCAUGUGUAGCGGUGAAAUGCGUAGAUAUAUGGAGGAACACCAGUGGCGAAGGCGGCUCUCUGGUCUGUAACUGACGCUGAGGCUCGAAAGCGUGGGGAGCAAACAGGAUUAGAUACCCUGGUAGUCCACGCCGUAAACGAUGAGUGCUAAGUGUUGGAGGGUUUCCGCCCUUCAGUGCUGCAGCUAACGCAUUAAGCACUCCGCCUGGGGAGUACGACCGCAAGGUGAAUA